rnacentral:rRNA from 1 species
UACGGAGGAUGCAAGCGUUAUCCGGAAUGAUUGGGCGUAAAGCGUCCGCAGGUGGCUGUGUAAGUCUGCUGUCAAAGAGCGAAGCUCAACUUCGUAAAGGCAGUGGAAACUACACGGCUAGAGUGCGUUCGGGGCAGAGGGAAUUCCUGGUGUAGCGGUGAAAUGCGUAAAGAUCAGGAAGAACACCGGUGGCGAAGGCGCUCUGCUAGGCCGCAACUGACACUGAGGGACGAAAGCUAGGGGAGCGAAUGGG